UUUCUAUCUGCGAUAUGGAAGAUGCGAACCAGCAGCAGGUCCUCGACUAUCGGAGGGAGACAACGGAGCCGCUUGAGGCGACGGCCCGAAGGUCGAGCAAAGCGAGUAAUCCUGCACGACCCACCA
rnacentral:sRNA from 1 species